CUUUUAAAUUUGCGUUGUAAGAUUUAUUUUGGCUCUCCCCGCCUGUUCUUUGCACAUUAAAAAUGAAAAAGUUUGUAGAACUAAGCUAAGCAGAUGGUCUUCCUGCAAAAAGACCGGGCUGAAGUAAAGCAUUGUUUUGGAGCUGGUUCACAGAAAAAAGGCAAAACUGGUUAUCCUGACUUCAAGCUCCAACAUAAACUGCUCGCUUUCUCCGGGAAACUUGCCCCGCCACACACACUUGACUGCGUGGCCAGUUCUUUCGAAGCCUCUCGCUCCCAACACGGAGUUCCUCCCAUUUCUUCACAGUCGGCUCUCAGCAGCUGCUGCUGGUUUCUCGGCUCCAGCACCACGAGUACCGCACUCUGAGGUUUACAAAGCACUCUGCUUCACCGACUGUGAUCCUCACAGUCCUGUCCGGUGGCCUCACGCAGGUGGCGGUGCAGCCUUUCAGGCCCAGAGCGGCCAGGAGCGAAGCCCGCAGCCCCGCCUGGAAGCGCAGCGCGGUCGGUCGCGCGCCCCUGAGGCUUGGAGGCCUGGGCUUCCCCCAGCAGCGCUCGAGCACCGCCCAGUCGAGCCUCACACCGGAUGCCACUUCAUAUUUGGGCCCAGAGCUCAAUUCGCGCCGAUGCGGUCCGCCGUCCUUAAAUCUCUUCAGCCAGGAUCUCUCCCCGACUGCAAAGCAGCCCUGGGCGGGAGCGGCAACAUCUCCACGUCACCCUUUUGGAGCCGCCGACAUUCAGAGGGGCAGGACACGGGAACGCGCGCUGUCUUGCUUUACGGCGCGGGUGCGCGAGUUUGCGGCAGCGUGACGCCCUCAAGUUUUGGCGGGAAAAGCGCUGCAUUUGGAUUCCUGCAGUGGUGGGCAAAGGACAGUCCGCCGAGGUGCUCGGUGGAGUCAUGGCAGUGCCCUUUGUGGAAGACUGGGACUUGGUGCAAACCCUGGGAGAAGGUGCCUAUGGAGAAGCCAGACAUAGGCAUGCCUGAACCAGAUGCUCAGAGAUUCUUCCAUCAACUCAUGGCAGGGGUGGUUUAUCUGCAUGGUAUUGGAAUAACUCACAGGGAUAUUAAACCAGAAAAUCUUCUGUUGGAUGAAAGGGAUAACCUCAAAAUCUCAGACUUUGGCUUGGCAACAGUAUUUCGGUAUAAUAAUCGUGAGCGUUUGUUGAACAAGAUGUGUGGUACUUUACCAUAUGUUGCUCCAGAACUUCUGAAGAGAAGAGAAUUUCAUGCAGAACCAGUUGAUGUUUGGUCCUGUGGAAUAGUACUUACUGCAAUGCUCGCUGGAGAAUUGCCAUGGGACCAACCCAGUGACAGCUGUCAGGAGUAUUCUGACUGGAAAGAAAAAAAAACAUACCUCAACCCUUGGAAAAAAAUCGAUUCUGCUCCUCUAGCUCUGCUGCAUAAAAUCUUAGUUGAGAAUCCAUCAGCAAGAAUUACCAUUCCAGACAUCAAAAAAGAUAGAUGGUACAACAAACCCCUCAAGAAAGGGGCAAAAAGGCCCCGAGUCACUUCAGGUGGUGUGUCAGAGUCUCCCAGUGGAUUUUCUAAGCACAUUCAAUCCAAUUUGGACUUCUCUCCAGUAAACAGUGCUUCUAGUGAAGAAAAUGUGAAGUACUCCAGUUCUCAGCCAGAACCCCGCACAGGUCUUUCCUUAUGGGAUACCAGCCCCUCAUACAUUGAUAAAUUGGUACAAGGGAUCAGCUUUUCCCAGCCCACAUGUCCUGAUCAUAUGCUUUUGAAUAGUCAGUUACUUGGCACCCCAGGAUCCUCACAGAACCCCUGGCAGCGGUUGGUCAAAAGAAUGACACGAUUCUUUACCAAAUUGGAUGCAGACAAAUCUUAUCAAUGCCUGAAAGAGACUUGUGAGAAGUUGGGCUAUCAAUGGAAGAAAAGUUGUAUGAAUCAGGUUACUAUAUCAACAACUGAUAGGAGAAACAAUAAACUCAUUUUCAAAGUGAAUUUGUUAGAAAUGGAUGAUAAAAUAUUGGUUGACUUCCGGCUUUCUAAGGGUGAUGGAUUGGAGUUCAAGAGACACUUCCUGAAGAUUAAAGGGAAGCUGAUUGAUAUUGUGAGCAGCCAGAAGAUUUGGCUUCCUGCCACAUGAUCGGACCAUCGGCUCUGGGGAAUCCUGAUGGAGUUUCACUCUUGUCUCCCAGGCUGGAGUACAAUGGCAUGAUCUCAGCUUACUGCAACCUCCGUCUCCUGGGUUCAAGCGAUUCUCCUGCCUCAGCCUUCCAAGUAGCUGGGAUUACAGUCAAUGACUGGCACCCAUCCAAACAUGGCUCACCUGUAGAUGUGCUUGAAAUUGGUGCACCUGAAGCCUGUUCCCCUGAAGCGUGCUCACCUGAAGGCUGUUCACCCGAGGCCUGCUCACCAGAAGGCUGUUCACCGGAGCCAUGUUCACCUGAAGGCUGUUCAUCUGAAGGCUGUUCACCUGACUCAAGCUCACUCAAAGGCUGUUCUCCGGAGAGGUGUUCACCUGAAGGCUGUUCUCCUGAAGGCUGCUCACCUACAGUAUGCUCACCUUCAGCAUGUUCAGUCGCAGCGGGCUCACCUGAAGCAUGCUCACUCUCAGCAUGUUCUCCAGAAGUGUGCUCGGCCACAGUGUGCUUGCUUGAACCAUGCUCACUGGAACCAUGCUCACUUAAAGUGUUCAGGCCUGAAGAAGUCUCAUAUAAAGCCUCAGCAUCAGAAGGGUUUUCAAGUGAAAAGAACUCACCUGGAAGUUGCUGAACUGAAGUUUGAUGAUCUAUGGAGCCAGAAAGCUCAUUAGGCUGACUUGAUGUUCCUGGGAUGGAGAAGGAACAGAAGAGAGUUGGUGAAGCUGACAGAAUGGGAUAAAGACUAUCUUCCUAUGGAGUUAGGCUAAUGUUAUGAGACUCCUAGGUUUCCUAUGGGCCUAGAUUGGGCACCUGAAGACUGCAGAUGUUGGGAAAAAUCAACUAAGUAUCCCAAAAGGCCAUGGAGGACAGAAGUGUUUAGUGAAACAAACAGAGGCCACCUCUGGGAUUGAAGGGAAGAAUCUUAAGUUCCCCAAUAUUAAGAACUACUUAGGAGAAUCCACUCAUCCAUGUACAAAAAACCCCUGAAGGAAAAUGAAUGUGCCUCCCUGACAAAGUCAGCAUCAGGAAGUCAGGAUACCAUCCCUGAUAGAAUCAGAAGUUCGCCACCAACCCUCCCAUUCCUCUAUGGGUGAAAGACAAGAAGAGUAGAGAUAGAAGAGGGAGAGAGAAAGCAAGUAGUUUUCAAUACCUGAGUAUUUGUAACCUAAAUUAAGGGCGGAAGAGUUAACCUUUGGACAGGGAUGACAAGUAUGAGCCCACAAAAAUUAUCAGAAGGGAUUAAGCCGCCUGUAUUUGGUAAUGUCAAGUAUUUUCUCACACUCAAUCCCCAAUCCAUGUGGGUUGGGGAUUCAGAGAGCAAAGUUGCUAUAAGCUAUUAAGGUAAAAAAAAAAAAGUCUAGGCAUAUUAUAUAUAUAUAUAUAUAUAGACACACACACAUAUAUGAAUUGUAUCCUUGUGACAUACCAUUUACAUUCACUUCAUGGAGUUGUCCUGAGUACUUAAUAAGAUAAAUUGUGAAGUGCACCAUUGCCUAGUACUCAAUUUUAUUUUUCUUUUCUUCCCACCUUACACUGGGAAUUACAAAACUCUUACAUGGUUAUUUUUUUCUGGCCAGUCUCUUCUACCUUUAAUCCGUCUCUUUCUUUUUUUUUUUUUGUUUCAAAGAUAGAGUCUCGCUCUGUUGCCCAGGCUGGAGUACAGUGGCACAAUCUUGGCUCACUGCAACCUCCGCCUCCCGGGUUCAAGUGAUCCUCCUGCCUCUGCCUCCCGAGUAGCUGGGAUUACAGGUGCAUGCCACCAUACCUGGCUAAUUUUUGUAUUUUUAGUAGAGACAGGGUCUCGCCAUGUUGGCCAGGCUGGUCUUGAACUCCUGACCUCAAGUGAUCCGCCCGCCUCAGCCUCCCAAAAUGCUGGGAUUACAGGCAUGAGCCACUGUGUCUGGCCAAUCCAUCUCAUCAUUGACUGUCAGACAAAUAUUCCUUAAGUAUAUUUUAAGUGAACAGAAGCACAAAACAGAUAAUUUGAUUAUUACUCUUUGAUUAAACUGAGCCACCUAGAGGAAGACAAGUAGACUACAACAACCAAGUUAUUUAAUUCUAGCCAAAAGCUGAGAGGAAUUAUUGGAUCUUUGAGGCUGAGGUAGUCUAAAACCCCAGAGUACUCAAAACUCUAAGAAUCUUGCGAUAGAUAUAUUUUCUUGGCACAGUGCAGUACUUACAAUCAGUGACUUUCUAAAUGACUAGGGUGAGAAUAUGUUGAUAAAGGAAAGGUAAGAUUUAGUAAAGCUUUUAGGAGGUUUUUAUUUUUUAAACUUAUUACAUAAAUACUAUCUACUUGACUGGUUUUUCAAUAAUUAACACAAGUUUUGAUAAAGAGAUGUUUCUGAUAUAGAAAGGAGACAUAAAAAGCAUGCUAAUUUCUUGAUCUUAUAGUUUAUGACUCGUGUCACCAUGUGACUGGCACAUACUAUCACCUGGUGGCUGUGUAUCUACAUUUUUGAGUCAACUUUUGAAGGUCUAACAAAGCAAAAAGCAAAACCUCUGACAGUCGACAUUAUAGAAAAUACAUUGUUUUUUCACUGAAAGCUCAGAGCUCAUGGCCUCUUUCUGCUGUAGGAGGCAGGAGGGAACACAGCACACCAUGAAUGGGGGAUCCCAAAAGAAGAGAUGAUACAGAAAACCUGAUUGAUAUAACACAGCCAUGAAGAAGAGGCUUAUGAAGUCUCUGGCCUAUAGCUCUGUCGUGUUCUGAGGUUGUUUUCUGAACACAUUACAUCUUCCCAUCUCCCAUCUUUCCUUGGCACAUUAACCACACAAGGAUCCCUCACAUUUAAUUGGUGGGACAAACCUUCAUUGGGCUUCUACAGAACCCCUAAGCCUACUUUUUCAUCUCAUGCAGCAUCAGGUAUAAAUGUUGAGUGGCUAAAAUAAGUAGAAACCAGACUGUGCCAAGCCAGUGGGACCCUCUGACUGUAAAGCUAUGACUAGAGAAAUCAACUGGUUCAGGAGCUCUCCGAGUUGGACUUGUUUAGCUGCUCUUGAUUCUGACUCAGAUUGGUUUGGGUGACUGAGAGACUGGUCUUCCUUCUUCAAGGCCUGAAAUGUCUUAAGGGAGACCCCUUUUGUAUUUACCUGAAGCCUAGAUCAAACACUCACCUCUGGCAGAUCCAAGCAGAUAAAGACUCAUUAGCAAGAGAAACCUGUUCAUCUGGAUUUAGGAAAAGAGGGGACCCCAGUGUGGGCCACAGCUUCUUCACAGAGCUAUGAAGCAAACUGCGAGCAAAAGCUUCCAGUGCUGAAGCAGAGCUUCUGGGAAUUCUAGAACCUCAGAAGUAACCCAUGUUUCUUCACAAUGGGUUGGGCUCUGAGGUUCUUGUGUAGCCUGUUCAGGCAAGUUGGCCCUUAGCAACCCACUGCUUAUUUCACUAGUGAAGACCAAUGAUUAUUUUCUGUGUGCAGGGUAGUGUGUUGGGGCUAUCUGCCCUAUCUUUAAAAAAAAAAAAAAAGUAUUACCAAAAAGCACAUAUUUUUUGUAAUAAAGUUUAAAAGAUA